GACUCUACAUUAUUUGAACUGUGACUAGCCUUCAACAAAUUACUUAACACACAACUAUUAGUAAAAUGGAAACAACUUGAGCAUUGUGUAAUUACAAAACUUCCAAAGCAAAAUGCAGGCAUCCGCUUUUCCAUGGGAAAUAUUAUUUCCCAACACUCUGAGGACUAAUUGGGUUUCGCUAAACUACUCAAAAAUUGAUCAGGGAACGAUGUGAGCCAGCAAUCCUCUCCUCUAAAGUUAAGGGAAUUAUAGCUUAGAGCUUUUGCAUGGUUACUUGAUGGGUCAAAAUGCAACAGUUCCAGGUCGAGCAACUGAAGUUAAGGCAGAAUAGAGGCUAAGCUCAAGAGAGUGGAGCAGGUUUGGGCAAUCCACGUCCUAGAGUUCCUUUAGAUUGACGGAUUUGGAAAGAAAAACAAACAAACAAACACAUGGAUGAGAGUUUUUGAGUGAUUUGGCACGAAAAUAGGAUCAGAUGCAGAAUGAUGGGAUCGGAUCGUUAGUUGGAAACUUGUAACUUCUUCCCGCAAACUCUAUCCAGGUGGACGCAAACUAUUACCACAUGGCCGCAAAUUACUUCAAUUUGUGCUAACUACAGAUUGGACCCUCAAGUUUUGAAACGUUGUGGUGAGACCUUAGCAUAUGAUGAUUAAUUGCCAAGCUACCCCGGCAAACCGAAAUACCCUUGUUCGACCUCCGUAGAUAACAGAGGUUGCAACUUGGGUUUCAAAUCAAAGAUGGUACGAAGAAAUUAACAUUCUCAGAAUUCCGUUGAGAUCUCCGCAUUGACAUGGCCGAGGUUGCAGAGUUUGCCAGGAGGAAAGGAAGAACAUUUGAUAGAUCUUGGAUUCGAAUGUCGAGGUGGGAUUGCUAAAGCACGAUGGUCAUGUAUAGACACUUGGUUUCAUAUACGAGGUUCAAAUAAAUAUGAGGCAAGUAGCCAUAAAUGUGCCCCCUCUGGCCUCGCAACCAAGUGCACUUAUUUUGCAUCUUUUAGAGCAAACAUUCAGGAUGGAGGUAAUCUGUGUAAGCAUUGCAUAUGCUCCAGUUAUAGUUGAUAAUGUAAACUGUCUCUCUCUUUUGUUUUUUUGAUAAACAGAAGGUGCAUUAAACGGUCUCUGUAGUGUAGUUUGUUCAUGCUCAUGUUUUGGGGUGUAAUUUGUCAUAACUUUGUGGCUUUGAACUGGACUGAGGUUGAGAUAGUAACAUAAACUUACUUGAAUUCACCAUCCUUGCUGAGAUGCAAUAGUUAUAAUCUACUGGUUUAUUUAUUUAAGAGGCUGUUUAUACAAAGAAGGACAACCAAUCUAGUACGCAACAUUGCAACUACUUGUCAAAAAGAGAGAAAACAUGAUGGUAUUAGUUCCAUUAAGGUACCGAGAUAGUUGGAGACCCAAUUUCAGGGUUAAUAGUUGAACAUGGAGUCAUGGGAAUUCCAUGACACACAUGGCAUCCAUUAUGAAGAUAGUGGAACAAAUGCUCAUCAUUCAACACAAAAAAGUGAUGCAAACACUAGGUUGUGGGGCUGCCAUUACUGUUCGCAAGCAUGGCAUCUCAAUUGCCGAAAGACAAGAAAGAAGGGUCUCCAACCAAACAACUGAAGCUUUUCGUUUGCAAAUUCCAAUUUUCAUAGUCCCGUACUAUGUCUUUUAAUUGAGAUGCCCAUACAAAUGACCCAUGAUUCCAUCAAAUGGAAUUAUGUACUGAAUUGGCUUUCUAGAGAUGUGUGAAGUUCUAGGUCUCUCUUCAAGUCCUCUGCCCCACCAUAUCCAUGCAAGUUUGAAGUAGCCAUGCUCGUUCUUUAUUUUCCAGCAAUGAGCAGUUUCCAUUUCUAUCAAAGUUCUUUACAUUUAAUCCCCAUGCUCGUUUCUUUUCUAUGUUGCUCGGGGAAAUUGUGGAAAUACUCUUUGUCGAGGCAAUAUAGAACCGGUGAUGGGUUUCAUGUACCGCACUAAGUCCCCUGCGUGGUUCUGGCAUGCUUGUGCACCACAAACAUACUUGGCCAAGGCAUUUUCACUUUUUGAGGACAAGUUAUUUGGUUUGGAGGGUGGACCCUACAUUUACAGGGUCGACCAUAGCAGAAGAAUGCGAAAGGGGUUGUUUUAGUCCUCUUUGGGUGGCAUUCUCAAUCCUUGUUGGUGGUCUGUUGUUGGAUGUACCGAUAUCCAUUACGCUUGGUGUAUCUGCUCUGCGUAUAACCAGCAUAAUCGGUAUACAAAUUUCACCUGAGAUUGUACGGUAGUAACUUGUUUCUGGGAGGGAAAUCAUGGAGUGACCUGUGAAUGUGUGCCUCCUGAUGCUUAUCUACAAGACAAUUUACAGGUGUUACCAUUCUGCUAGUAUUUGGAACUGCUGUGCGACUUGGCGUGGAAUUCUGUCGUCAGUGGCGUGCUAGACGAGCAGUACACACAGCGCAAAACAAAUGAGAAUAUUGGCGACCAUCUUUCGUUAUAGGUAAUAUUUGUACAUAAGAGAAAGCUUUCAGAGUACAUACUUGAUUUGCUUUGUAAUUAUGAUCAAUGAAUUGUAUAUUUAUUUUCUUCGUGAGGUGAGCCUCCUGCUCUCCUCCCCUUUCAAUAGGCUUUGGUGCGUUUGGACAACUUUUCUGAGACUCAAACUGACUAUAGUUUGAGAUUUGCUGGUAGAUAUUUUGUGCAGGUAGCUUUUGGAUGUUACUGUGUCACUAUUGUUGACAUGCCACAGGGAUAUAGUUGCAAAACUUAUUCGUAGUCCGAUAGCAGUUUAAAGUAGGAUUUGGUUAAUACUAAUUCAUCUUCCUACGCUAUGAUACCCA